AGGAAGUAAAAGUCGUAACAAGGUUUCCGUAGGUGAACCUGCGGAAGGAUCAUUAUCGAGUUUUGAAAUGGGUUGUAGCUGGUCUCUUUCAACGGAGGCAUGUGCACACCUGGCUCAUCCACUCUCAUACCCCUGUGCACUUAUUGUAGGCUUGGUAGACUGGACUUUACUGUCUGGAAAGCCUUUCCUAUGUCUUCAUAACAAACGCUUCAGUUUAAGAAUGUAAUUUUGUGGAUAACACAUUUAUAUACAACUUUCAGCAACGGAUCUCUUGGCUCUCGCAUCGAUGAAGAACGCAGCGAAAUGCGAUAAGUAAUGUGAAUUGCAGAAUUCAGUGAAUCAUCGAAUCUUUGAACGCACCUUGCGCUCCUUGGUAUUCCGAGGAGCAUGCCUGUUUGAGUGUCAUGGAAUUCUCAACCCUCAAAUCUUUGUUGAUUUGGUGGGCUUGGACUUGGAGGUUAGUGUCGGCUUGUUACCAAGUCGACUCCUCUGAAAUAUAUUAGCGUGAAUCUUACGGAUCGCUCUUCGGUGUGAUAAUUGUCUACGCCGUGUUCGUGAAGUAUAUCAGUGUUCUUGCUUAUAAUCGUCUCUUGUGGACAACUUUAUGACAUCUGACCUCAAAUCAGGUAGGACUACCCGCUGAACUUAAGCAUAU
rnacentral:rRNA from 1 species